UACGUAGGGUGCGAGCGUUAAUCGGAAUUACUGGGCGUAAAGCGUGCGCAGGCGGUUGUGCAAGACAGGUGUGAAAUCCCCGGGCUUAACCUGGGAACUGCACUUGUGACUGCACGGCUGGAGUGCGGCAGAGGGGGAUGGAAUUCCGCGUGUAGCAGUGAAAUGCGUAGAUAUGCGGAGGAACACCGAUGGCGAAGGCAAUCCCCUGGACCUGUACUGACGCUCAUGCACGAAAGCGUGGGGAGCAAACAGG
rnacentral:rRNA from 1 species